rnacentral:lncRNA from 1 species
CUGGAUGUCAUAUAUAAGGAUUUUUUUUUUGUUGGUGGUGGUUAUGGGGAGAGUGCCUAAGCAUUUUCAAUGUUGGAUACAUAAAGUCACUUUUAUAUUUCAGGUUAAGACAGGAACCACUCCGACAAGCUUUGUCAAUGAUUUGCUAUAGGUCAACAAUUUCUUCUAUAUUCAUCUAAUGCAAAAUUGUUAGCACUACUAUGCAUCCAUGCAUCCCAUGAGGAUGUGACAUACAGCCGCUGCUUACAGUGUUGGCACCAGUGGCAGAUAUUUUGAUAUCUGAGGCAAGUUUAUUGAAUUUAUAAGGGAACGUGGCCUUCAUGACAGUACUAGUGUAGCCCCAGAGUACCAGCUCAGCAUACUGCAUCAUUGUCACCCCUCGCCUUGGAACCAGGGCAUAAACACUUGGUGCCACGGUGCAAAUAGAGCCUGUCUCCUACCAGCCCUUCUGAGCAACAUAAACUCUUUGGUUGGUGCAAUAUCCUCCUGCAGACUAAGUCUCUGCUGCAUUUUUAAGGGCUGUGAACGAGCACCUUUGCUGGAGGUGCACUCCCAGAAUCGUCAUCUUGCCAGAACCCUCCUGAAUUUAAACACAGAAAUGCAGAGACUGAGAAAUGAAAAUGAUCUGUCAGCAGCUUUUGAAUCCAAAGCACUGAACGUUGCCAUGAGCCCAGAAUAAUAAACUGUGUUUCAAGGCAUAGAUCCUGAAGAUGAAAUAUAUAUUCCAGAAAUGGUUCUGACAACAGCAUUAUGGAUAAGCUGCACAAGCUUCUUGAUCCAAUUUGGUAGCAGAAUACAUGGCAUUGUUUGAAAAUUACAGAAAUGUUUUAGAGAGGUUGUAGGGGAAAAUGAUGUUUGUAUUAAAGUUUAACUUGUCUUUUGGUGAGAAGAAGUUGCCUUUUUUAAAGGAAAGUAUCUACAAAGUAUGUAUGUAUAGGAAACAGUAUUUUUUAAUUCUCAAGUUAUUCUUCAAAUAUUUAAUUUUGUACAAUUUUUAGUUCUUAAUGUUGCAUUUAAAUUUCUCUACCCAUUUCACCAGUCCUUUCAUGAUACCUGUCCCUUCAGGUAUUAAUUCAUUUAAAUGUUCUUUCCUGAAAAAUGAGAAUUUUUAACUGUGCCUUGGAUUUAAUGCUUUGUAAGUUGCCUUUUUAAAUAAACAAAUAAAUAAAUUAGUAGCA